rnacentral:rRNA from 1 species
CUACGGGUUGCAGCAGUGGGGAAUAUUGCACAAUGGGCGCAAGCCUGAUGCAGCCAUGCCGCGUGUAUGAAAAAGGCCUUCGGGUUGUAAAGUACUUUCGGCGGGGAGGAAGGGAGUAAAGUUAAUACCUUUGCUCAUUGACGUUACCCGCAGAAGAAGCACCGGCUAACUCCGUGCCAGCAGCCGCGGUAAUACGGAGGGUGCAAGCGUUAAUCGGAAUUACUGGGCGUAAAGCGCACGCAGGCGGUUUGUUAAGUCAGAUGUGAAAUCCCCGGGCUCAACCUGGGAACUGCAUCUGAUACUGGCAAGCUUGAGUCUCGUAGAGGGGGGUAGAAUUCCAGGUGUAGCGGUGAAAUGCGUAGAGAUCUGGAGGAAUACCGGUGGCGAAGGCGGCCCCCUGGACGAAGACUGACGCUCAGGUGCGAAAGCGUGGGGAGCAAACAGGAUUAGAUACCCCGGUAGUC